CCACUCUGGGUCUGGGGAGAAGGAUGUUUUACCUGUCGCCUAUGCUUCAGUCGUUACCUAGGAGACGGGACCCGUCUGGCUGCCUUAGAGUUGGCGCCUGCGCACUGAGAGUUGGCGCCUGCCAGUGGCGUGAGGGGCUUCAUCAGCGCAAAGCAUAUCCGUUGUUUUGCCACAGUUGUCACAGACAUGAAGUUCUGUGAAUCGGAGUAGUGUACUGACAGACUAAUGCACUGAUAGAUGGGACAGAAAGGCAAGAUAAUGUCUUUUGCAGGCUCAGGAGUCAAAGGGCACAUUUGAAUCCUGGCGCACCUCUCUCUAUCCAUGUGAUGUCCUGCAAUUUAAGGUCUGUAUACCCUAGUUUCCUCUUCUGUAUUAAAAAAAAAAAAAAAAAGGAGGCUAUAAUAUUAAUAAUAACCUUAAUAGCCAUAAAGAAAGCUGAGCGCCAGAGAAUUGAUGCUUUUGAACUGUGUUGUUGGCGAGUACUCUUGAGAGUCCCUUGAACUGCAAGGAGAUCCAGCCAGUCCAUCCUAAAGGAAAUCAGUCCUGAAUAUUCAUUGGAAGGAAUGAUGUCGAAGCUGAAGCUCCAAUACUUUGGACAUCCCACGCGAAGAACUGACUCAUUGGAAAAGACCCUGAUGCUGGGAAAGAUUGAGCACAGGAGGAGAAGUAGACGACAGAGGAUGAGAUGGUUGGAUGCCAUCAACGACUCGAUGGACAUGAGUUUGAGCAAACUCCUGGAUGUUGGUGAUGGACAGAGAAGCCUGAUGUGCUGCCGUGCAUGGGGUAGCAAAGAGUCGGACACGGCUGAGUGACGGAACAGAGGUGAACUGGUGUUGCUAUUCCACAUAAAAGGGAUGUCAUAUGCUAUUUUUCCUUCUCUGUCUGACUUACUUACACUCACUAUGGCAAUCUCUAGGCCCAUGUUGCUGCAAAUGGCAUUGGUUUAUUCUUUUUAAUGGUUGAUUAAUAUUCAAUUGUAUAUUGAGAAACCUAUAUGCAGGUCAGGAAGCAACAGUUAGAACUGGACAUGGAACAACA
ensembl:lncRNA